GAGGACCUUCAGAUUUCUUGACUCGCACAUUAUUUUAUAGUACAAAGAAACUAACGUCAUAUUUUGACUGAUGAACACCCUUGCUUGCUGCAGCUUCUUCUCAAGGUUUCGCCUUCAAUACUUAGGCUUGACAUUAAGACGAGAAGCAAGCUUCUGACCCAGAGACCUGUCAGCCUGUACCCAUCCCAACAAUCCAAACACAAAAUGCAUUAAUAUUACCUACAUGUUAAAUGGCUCUACUCCAUCUGCAUUUAAUGGUUGGUGUGACACAAGGACUAUAAACCUACGAGUGUAAUAUCAUAACUGCGGAUGAUUAAGAUGCCAAAUCAAGAUUUAAAGUAUGAAAUGACUUAUGGUUGUGCAGCAUAUACAAGUUUUGUACAGUAGAAAAUUAAUCAGUAUCUACACAGAAGGAUUGGAGUUCCACCUGAGACCAAUAUGAAAUCCAGAUACUGCGGAUCUCAUAGGUGACCCUUGGAUCAGACAAGGUCUCAACCCAUCUGUUGAUGAAACGCUCUUGCCUAAAAGGAAGAUAAAAAUAAGAAACAAAACAAAUUGCAUUAAAGGAGAACUAGUUAAAAAGAUGCUCCGUCGUAAAAUUCAAGUAAAUUUGAAAACCAAGGAUAUACCUGUCCGGUGCAAAUGAACGGUAUCUCUCACCAGGCUGCUUGAAAUUGUUCUCCUUCUCAAUGACGACCUGUGAUGUUGAAAACAAAUAUUAGCACAUGGCCAUCAUCAUAAUAAAUUUAACUAGUUCAUAAGCACAAGUUAAACUGCUCCAAUCAUCUAAAGAACAAAAAGAUCCAGACACCACUGGUUCAGAGACUGAACAUUUAGAAUGAAAAGAAACCAGCAUUUGAAUCAAUUUGGUCCAAGAAAAAUCAUGACCAUUCAGGCAAACUGGUAGGAUACUGCAACUCAAUUGGAAUCCAAGUGGACCCCUUUUCUAGUUCAACUUCUAAGCCAGCUUCAAAUAUGGAAGAUAAUGCAGAAAAAGCAAACCUUCUCACGCUUGCCAUGGCAAAUAGUAGAAGGAAUAGGGAAUGUCUCCGCAUGACGAACAGGAUCAAACCUUGAAGGGAAGUAGUCGACCUAAGAAACACCAUUCAUCAGAAAAAUAACCCACAGGCAACAUAAAAUAGUCCGCCACCUUCCGAGAGAGAAAGAGAGAGAGAGAGAGAGAGAGAGAGAGAGAGAGAGAGAGAACCUCCUCAUCCCUGUGCAUGAAAUUCAUGGAACCGUCAUGGUGAUUGUUGUGAAAAGCACACUUGGGUGCAUUUACUGGAAGCUGCAGAUAGUUCGGUCCAAGGCGGUGCCUCUGAGUAUCAGAAUAGGCAAAGAUUCUACCUUGGAGCAUUUUAUCAUUUGUGUAAUAUAUACCAGGUACAACAAGAGCUGGGUUGAAGGCAAGCAUCUCAUUCUCAGCAAAGAAAUUAUCUAUGUUCUUGUUUAAUACCAACCGGCCCACUGGCUGCAAGGGCAAGAUAUCCUCAGGCCAAGUCUUGGUAACAUCAAGUGGAUCAAAGUCAAACUUGUCUUCAUGUUCAGGAUCCAUCGUCUGGAUGAAAAGCUUCCACUCAGGAUAGUUUCCAGCCUUGAUCGAGUCAUAGAGAUCCUGAGUAGCAUGACUGUGGUUAGUUCCUCCAACUCUUAUGGCUUCAUCCUCCAACAAACACUUGACUCCACACGUGGGUUUCCAGUGGAACUUCACAUAAUUUGCCUUCCCAGCCUUGUUGAUUAGAGUGAAGGUGUGAACACCAAAGCCUUCCAUGUGCCUAUAGUCCUGUGGGACACCCACAUCAUCGAAGAGGAAGGCAAAUGUGCUCAAGCUUUCUGGAUGGUAGGACAAGAAGUCAACAACUCUCCAAUACUCCUGGAUAUGGGACUUCGGAUUGG
rnacentral:lncRNA from 1 species